CCUACGGGAGACAGCAGUGAGGAAUAUUGGUCAAUGGACGAGAGUCUGAACCAGCCAAGUAGCGUGAAGGAUGACUGCCCUACGGGUUGUAAACUUCUUUUAUAUGGGAAUAAAACAGGGUAUGCAUACCCUCUUGUAUGUACCAUAUGAAUAAGGAUCGGCUAACUCCGUGCCAGCAGCCGCGGUAAUACGGAGGAUCCGAGCGUUAUCCGGAUUUAUUGGGUUUAAAGGGGGCGUAGGUGGAUUGUUAAGGCAGUUGUGAAAGUUUGCGGCUCAACCGUAAAAUUGCAGUUGAAACUGGCAGUCUUGAGUACAGUAGAGGUAGGCGGAAUUCGUGGUGUAGCGGUGAAAUGCUUAGAUAUCACGAAGAACUCCGAUUGCGAAGGCAGCUUACUGGACUGCAACUGACACUGAUGCACGAAAGCGUGGGUAUCAAACAGGAUUAGAUACCCGAGUAGUC
rnacentral:rRNA from 1 species